UACUAAUCAUAGUCUGCAUUGUUUGCAUAAUUAGGAGGAGACAACAUGGUGGGCCUAAACAGGAAAGUGCGUCGAGGAAUCCCGCAUAUGGUAUGUCUGUUAGACAAGCUCCUAAUGAUGCAGUCAACGUCCAAUCAAAUGAUGAGCACACAUAUGAACAUGUACGAGAUAUACGUGUAGAUGAGGUGGCUUACGAAACUAUUGAUCGCGACAAAAACAGCGGAGAAGGUGAAGCAGUUAUGGUAUCCAGCAAUGCAGCCUACGGAGUGAGAUUGUGAUGUCAUAGAACACAAAUGUAACUGUAUACGUGUCAAUCAGUACAUGCUGAUA